AUUGAACGCUGGCGGCAUGCCUUACACAUGCAAGUCGAACGGCAGCACGGGGCAACCUGGUGGCGAGUGGCGAACGGGUGAGUAAUGCAUCGGAACGUACCUUUCAGUGGGGGAUAACGUAGCGAAAGUUACGCUAAUACCGCAUAUUCUGUGAGCAGGAAAGCAGGGGAUCGCAAGACCUUGCGCUGAUUGAGCGGCCGAUGUCAGAUUAGCUAGUUGGUGAGGUAAAGGCUCACCAAGGCGACGAUCUGUAGCGGGUCUGAGAGGAUGAUCCGCCACACUGUAACUGAGACACGGUCCAGACUCCUACGGGAGGCAGCAGUGGGGAAUUUUGGACAAUGGGGGCAACCCUGAUCCAGCCAUGCCGCGUGAGUGAAGAAGGCCUUCGGGUUGUAAAGCUCUUUCGGCCGGGAAGAGAUCGCACGGGCUAAUACCCUGUGUGGAUGACGGUACCGGAAUAAGAAGCACCGGCUAACUACGUGCCAGCCGCCGCGGUAAAAC
rnacentral:rRNA from 1 species